rnacentral:rRNA from 1 species
CAGCAGCCGCGGGAAUACGUAGGUGGCAAGCGUUGUCCGGAAUUACUGGGCGUAAAGCGCACGUAGGCGGCUUUGUAAGUUAGAGGUGAAAGCCCGGAGCUCAACUCCAGAAUUGCCUCUAAGACUGCAUCGCUUGAAUCCAGGAGAGGUGAGUGGAAUUCCGAGUGUAGAGGUGAAAUUCGUAGAUAUUCGGAAGAACACCAGUGGCGAAGGCGGCUCACUGGACUGGUAUUGACGCUGAGGUGCGAAAGCGUGGGGAGCAAACAGGAUUAGAUACCCCUGUAGUCCCUGUCUCUUAUAC